rnacentral:tRNA from 1 species
GCGGGUGUCGUAUAGUGGUUUAUUAUAUCGGCCUUCCAAGCCGAGGAGGUGGGUUCGAUUCCCAUCACCCGCUCCA